CCUACGGGAGGCAGCAGUGGGGAAUCUUGCGCAAUGGGCGAAAGCCUGACGCAGCGACGCCGCGUGGGGGAGGAAGCCUUUCGGGGUGUAAACCUCUGUCAGGGGGGAAGAAUGGUCCGGGGAGGAAAUGCCCUGGAUUUGACGGUACCUCCAAAGGAAGCACCGGCUAACUCUGUGCCAGCAGCCGCGGUAAUACAGAGGGUGCGAGCGUUGUUCGGAAUUACUGGGCGUAAAGCGCGCGCAGGCGGCUCUUUAAGUCCGCUGGUCAAAGACCGGGGCUCAACCCCGUGUAAGCCAGGGAUACUGGAGGGCUGGAGACAUGUAGAGGCAAGCGGAAUUCCGGGUGUAGCGGUGGAAUGCGUAGAGAUCCGGAAGAACACCGGAGGCGAAGGCGGCUUGCUGGGCAUGAUCUGACGCUGAGGCGCGAAAGCGUGGGGAGC
rnacentral:rRNA from 1 species